AGGAUUCGACCUUCGGGUCUAUCUUCUCUUCAGCUGUGCGCUUCGGCUGCACGCUGUUGAAUCUCACACACCUGUGCACACUUCGGCUGCAGUCGGUUAAUUCUGGCUGCUUCCGCUUAUACAUUUAACUACAAGUCUAGAAUGUCUACUACUAUAAAAAUAA
rnacentral:misc_RNA from 1 species